UCCAUUACAAUGGACUAUUCUUUUAGUUAGGCCACUUACAAACAGUCCAUUACAAUAAAUUGACUUGAAACAAAUAAGGAAAAAUAAAAGUGGGAUUUAAAACUUGAUACCACUAAAACCACUCUUUCAUUAAUCAAUCAAAACCACAAUACUAAGUUUGAAAAUAGCAAAAAAUAAAUGCGAUAAGUAUGACAAGAAACAAGAAAUACAAUGUCGGAGAUUACCUCAAUUGGGCUUAAUACACUCCAUACCAAAUCACCACCUCCAAUGGCGCUGGAUCAAUGGUCAACCUCAAUCUCCAAGAUGGGAAAGCAUAUGAGCCAAACCUCCAAUGGAACAAGAACUCUUAUCACAAGGCUUAGAUCUCAAAAUUGAGGUUUACCCCAUGAUCACCUAGAUGAAAGAGAUGAGCUUCUCAAUACUAAACCCUUAAGCCAUGAGAGAGAUAGAAGAAGGGAGAGAGAGUAUCAUAACCUAAACUAGGUUUAGGUGGGGCAUGCCCCUUCAAUGGGAUGAGAGAGAGCAACUCUAGGUGGGGCGUGCCCCUCUAUGAGAGAUGUGAGAGGGAGAGAAGAGAGAUCUGUGUUUUAAAUGGGUAGAGUGCACCUCUUUAGAUAGUGUUUCAAUAAGGCUAGGAUUUCUAUAUUGUUUGCCACUUUAAUGAGAUUGAAUUUGCACCAUUGAUCUUAGGUGACUUAUGGGGUGAGAGAUAUGAGCCACCCAUUUUAUAGAUUAACCAUCAAGAUCUUAUGGAAGGUGCUAGAACCUGUAUCCCCCAUUUCUUAAACCAAUUUCCCAUCAAUAAAUUAAUUAUGAAAGUAAUCAAUUGUAAUAUUGUACAUUCUAAUUUUAUGCACAAGCUUCUUCAUACUUUCCAUAUUUGAUUUCAA
rnacentral:lncRNA from 1 species